CGACCGGCGCACGGGUGAGUAACGCGUAUGUAAUCUACCUGUAACAGAGGGAUAACCCGGAGAAAUCCGGACCAAUACCUCAUAGCACAUUAUUAUUCGCAUGAAUUUUAUGUUAAAGAGACUCGGUUACAGAUGAACAUGCGUUCCAUUAGCUAGUUGGCGGGGUUACGGCCCACCAAGGCAACGAUGGAUAGGGGUUCUGAGAGGAAGGUCCCCCACACUGGUACUGAGACACGGACCAG
rnacentral:rRNA from 1 species